UUGCUACCGGACCUAGCGGCGGACGGGUGAGUAAUGCUUAGGAAUCUGCCUAUUAGUGGGGGACAACAUCUCGAAAGGGAUGCUAAUACCGCAUACGUCCUACGGGAGAAAGCAGGGGAUCUUCGGACCUUGCGCUAAUAGAUGAGCCUAAGUCGGAUUAACUAGUUGGUGGGGUAAAGGCCUACCAAGGCGACGAUCUGUAGCGGGUCUGAGAGGAUGAUCCGCCACACUGGGACUGAGACACGGCCCAGACUCCUACGGGAGGCAGCAGUGGGGAAUAUUGGACAAUGGGGGGAACCCUGAUCCAGCCAUGCCGCGUGUGUGAAGAAGGCCUUAUGGUUGUAAAGCACUUUAAGCGAGGAGGAUGCUACUUUAGUUAAUACCUAGAGAUAGUGGACUUCUUCGUAGAAUAAGCACCGGCUAACUCUGUGCCCGCAGCCGCGGUAAUACUUGNGGUGCGCGCGUUAAUCUAUCU
rnacentral:rRNA from 1 species